rnacentral:lncRNA from 1 species
AUGUUAUAUAAAUCAAAGAAUAAAUUAGAUAUAUAUAUAUUUUAUAACUAAUGUAUAAGAGUUUUUUUACAAUGCCAAAUAUAAUCAUUUAAAAAAAAAUAAUAAAAAAUUAUCAUAUAUGAUUAGUAAAUCCUUAAAAGAUAAUAUUUAUUUAUUUAUAUAUAUAUUUUUUAAUGAAGUGACGUACAAGUAGGUACUAUAAUGAUUCAAAUCACAAUUCACAAUAAUUUUAUAUUGUAACAACUUUAAGGCUUAAAAUACAAUGUUAUGAAAUAAUAUUAUACUAUUAAAAUAUUAGUUUUUAUUGUCGGAAGAAAAUGUGCAUUAGUACUGAUUUUUUUUGAAAAUAAAAGAUAUGUAUAUAUAUAUAUAUAUAUAUAUAUAGG